ACGUGGUAGGAGAGCGUU
rnacentral:sRNA from 1 species